GGAAGUAAAAGUCAUAACAAGGUUUCCGUAGGUGAACCUGCGGAAGGAUCAUUAAAAGAUUUAGCAUAUUCUUCUGAAUAUACUUCAUUAACCCAUUCCGAGUACCUUACCCGUUGCUUCCGCGAGGCUGUCCUCACGGCCCUUUGAAGAUUUAUCUUUGGAGAGUCCUUGCGGGAGGUAUACAAUAAACUCUUGCAUUACCAUGUCAUCUGUCUGAAUCUGUUUAAAACAAAUAUUAAAACUUUCAACAACGGAUCUCUUGGUUCUC
rnacentral:misc_RNA from 1 species